CGCUGGCGGCGUGCUUAACACAUGCAAGUCGAACGGUGAACCAGAGCUUGCUCUGGGGAUCAGUGGCGAACGGGUGAGUAACACGUGGGCAACCUGCCCCAGACUCUGGGAUAACCUCGGGAAACCGAUGCUAAUACCGGAUACGACCACUUCGGACAUCCGACGGUGGUGGAAAGUUUUUCGGUCUGGGAUGGGCCCGCGGCCUAUCAGCUAGUUGGUGGGGUAAUGGCCUACCAAGGCGACGACGGGUAGUCGGCCUGAGAGGGCGACCGGCCACACUGGAACUGAGACACGGUCCAGAGUCCUACGGGAGGCAGCAGUGGGAAUAUUGCACAAUGGGCGAAAGCCUGAUGCAGCGACGCCGCGUGAGGGACGACGGCCUUCGGGUUGUAAACCUCUUUCAGCAGGGACGAAGCGAAAGUGACUGUACCUGCAGAAGAAGCACCGGCUAACUACGUG
rnacentral:rRNA from 1 species